GCCAUUGUUGUUUAUUCUAACACUGGUUGUGCUGUAAAGCACAGGCACCUGAUCCUGGUUUCAUGCCAUCCUGUCACCUCUUGUCAUGCCACAUGUUCCCUUAAAACAGCACCGCUGACUGUGAAGCCAUGACUCUGGAACAGUCAUGGAUCCAAGGUCCUUUACCUUGGGGAUGCCAGUUUUCCAAUACAGAGUUAGGUGUAGGUCCAAGAAGCAAGACCAAUCUAAAAUAACGGAAAGCAGAAAUUCAGAGAACUUCAUGAAGUGUACUGUACUGGAAAUGCUCACCACAGGAAUAUGCUCCCACCUAUGCCUAAAACUACAGCCUCCCAAAGCAAAAGCACUGCUAUCUGCAACUGAUUAAAUCAUCAAGAACCAGUUGGAGAAUCAACAAGUGCUAUCUAAGAUACCCUAAAGAUCCUCCAGCACGAAAAAGCUAAUAGGAGAAGGAGGUGGGAGAACGCUGAGGUUUUUGGAAUGCCUUCAAGUGCUGUGACACAGACAAACUCAUCUUUGGAAAAGGAACCCGCCUGAUUGUGGAACCAAAAAAUCAGCCGAUUUCCAAGCCAUCUGUUUUUGUCAUGAAAAAUAAAACACACUUCGCUUGCCUGGUGAAGGAUUUCUAUCCCAAGGCUAUACAGGUCGAGUUCCAACCGAAUAUAAAAACAUUUGACACUGCUGUCACCCUCAACUCCAAAGGGAGGUACGAUGCUGUCAAGAUUGGCCACUCUGAAGAUAAACCUUCAGUGACAUGUUCAGUUAAACACAACCAAGAAAUUAUAAAUUCCACUGAGAAUCUGGAGACAGAUUCUUCGGGUCCUCUAAAAUCACAGUCUACAGAUAAAAAUCAAACUCCAGGGCCUGCAAAUACACAGAACAUUACAGAGUCUAAAAACGAAGGAGAGCAAACAUCAGGGGGCCACAAUAAACCUAAAGCCACAGUCUAUCCCGAGAAGGUGAACACGAUGUCCCUCACGGUGCUGGGGCUCAGGAUGUGGUUUGCCAAGAGUGUCGCCAUCAAUGUCUUUCUGACUGCCAAGUUAUUCUUCUUCUAAGGCUGAGUGGCAUGGGGAGGCCACAUUCCCUGAGAACAGCCAAAGGCCUGCAGAGGUGUUGUCUCCUAGGCUUCUGACGUCUCACAGAUUCAAGUCAACCCUCCCAGCCUUGCUUAAAUGGCUACUACACAAGCAGUGUUCCUUUGAAGGUGACAAAGCCAGCUCAUCCUCCAGCCCGGCUGAAAGACAAAGGUCCUAUGGGCCCACCUGCUUUAAAUGCUGCUUUAUAAAAAGACGUAGAUAUAUAAAAGGGCACAGGACUCUUUUUUAAUUCCUGCAACUGAUUACUUUGAAAAUAAUGUUUUGUUCCUUUAACUUUCUUUGCCUCCAGAAACAGCAAUUUCGAGCCAACAGCUUUCCAGUUCCAUCCUCCAAAAGGAAAACGGGCCCUGGGGAAAGGGGGCAGAACUCCUGUGCCAAAACAUGAAAGGCUCUGCUCCACCCAGCACUAGCUUUGCCCCAACCUGCCAUUCUCAUCCCACCCUCUUUGGGGCUCAUCCCAGCCUGCAUUGCACCCCAGAAUACUCCAGAUUUGAUCAGGGAGUGGGGUGGGAGGCAGAUGACACAAGAACACUUUCCUAACACUUUGCAAACAAAAUGACAUGUGAUUUCCCUACUACUGUUCAAGCAGCCGAUGGGGGUUUUUUAAUCUCACCUGAAAUGCCAUGAUACUCUCCAGAAAUACACUGCUUUCUGUUAAUUGACGUAACAGAAAUGAAUCGACUCCCUCUAAGUCCCAGCAAUAUACUGAAGGCACAUAGGUGAGUAAAACAAGGACCACCCUUUGAAGGAGUCACCAAGCCUGUGUUUUUGGAGGGAGGGAUGAGAAUGAGACCCUCACUCCCCUGGGAGUGAUUCUGGCCUGGGUAUCUAGACCUGAGGCAUUUGCGGUCACCGCCUCUUGCCUGGCCUUGGGUGUUCAUGGCUUUCUCCUCUGAAGCUGUCUGCUGCAUGUGUUAAAGUGCACUGUUCAUCUCACCCUGGGCCUGCUCAUUGCGGAAAAGUGGGCGCAUGCACUCGCUGUUAGUCAGACCAAAGCCAGAGCUUAAAGGUCAUACCGCAGCUUUCUGAGCCCCCAGCCUACAGGUCUCCUGCAUGUUUGGGGACGCAGCACCCUCCCCCACCCUGUUUCCUGCUGUUGUUGCUGCUGCUAUAGCAGUAACAGCAGCCACACUCCCGGUGUGGCCUGUGCACUCUGUUGCUCUCACCUCAGCAAGCCCACAGCUUUUUCCGGGGGCACCCGCUCCGGCAGCAGAGCCCUAGCAACCCAGUAUUGUGGUUUCCUCAGCACCUAUAUGGGGUGUCAGCAGGGGCUUAUGAGUUUACAAGUGAGAGAGAACCCUCAGCAACAGCUCCCCCUGCCCUGCUGUUGUCCGCUGCAAACUCCCGUCUCAAGUCUUCACAGCCCAAACCAAAGACAGGAGAGAAGAGUUAUAAGCCCCUGGUUUAGGGUAACUUGAUAGGCAAGCCCAGUCCCCCCAGGGGAAAACAAAAGAUUCCAUACAGUUUCGCUGGGUAUGAGUAAAGAAUGCCUGUUUCCAGAACACUGGUAUCUGUUACCUUGGGUCAUGUUGGAAUGUUUAUCUGAAGUGGCCAAGAACAAAAAGAUCACAUCCUCGUUUUUUCAAAUGGAAAAAAAAAUGUUCCCCUCAGAAAGGUAUUAUGUGCCAUGUCCAAAGUCAUUCUGCGAGGCAGGGGCCUUGCGAGGAGCAGGACCUAGUUACCAGCGUUCCUUCUGUGAGAGCACACUGCAAGCCUCAGAUGAGGAAAAGGUAUGGAUUUCAAGUUCAGAGCCUUAACCCCAGCGUUGUCCUCCACUUAGCGAAUGAAGCAGCCACCUUCUGGCCACUUUGAUCACCAGAAAAAGGCAUCCUUGUGCAUCGCAGAACUUGAAUUUCUUCACCCUAAAGGACCCUCCAGAAAAAAUUUAAGAUGGUAGAUGGGACUGUGGCUGCCUUCGGGUCUGAGGAACUUGGGGGCUGGUACUGUGGAUGCAAAUGUUCCAGAACUUUCACAUGGCAGCUAUCACUUAAAGCCCAUGAGGACCUUGAGGGGGGUCUCCAGGAGAAGGUCAUACACACAGUGGGCCAUGGAUCAGAAACCCCAGGGGGCGUGGGCAAAUGGGCUUGGGCAAAUGACUCACCCAUUUUCUUACCAUCACCCAUUUUCUUACCAUCUUCUCUGUGGGACUGCUCUUCACUGCCUCUUUUAAAGCCCAGAUAAACAGCUGCCCUUACUGCUAAAGCCUCCUGGGCUGCGGAUGCACAAAGAGCUCUGGAUAUGCCUCACUGCACCCGGACUCUGCCAUUAACCAAGUCUCUGACCUUGGGAGUGACCCUUGAUUCUUUGGCUUCAGCGUAUUUCCUAUCAAAUAAUCACUCCCACUCCUUCUAUCUCUAAGAUUAGAUCUAAUGAUGUUAACAGUUGUUUUACAGAAGAUAAUUCAGUAGAAGUAGAGGAAGGAGGGACAAUUCCAGGGCUGAGGGUGUUUCUAUUUUGACAUCACAUCAUUGGUUUCCCUGGAGGUAAUUAUUUCCCCCAGAGACAACAGUGAGCUCCAGAGUCAGGCACUUUGAAGCUGGGGUUCAGGGAUUCACAACUUUCUGGGAGUAACACAAGGCUCUCCAGUGAAGGAAUAUUGUUCUCCAAGUAAAGUAAAUCAAAUGGAGGUGUCAAAGGGUGUCCAGGAGAAAUAAGGUAGCUAUACAAAAAGUGGUAGAAAAAAAGGAAAUCGGGGAAAUUAUUUCAAGUAAAUAACUUUGUGUCCAAUUUGAUUCUUCUUAAUUUUUAUUGAGGUGACACUGGUUUAUAACUGUACACAAAUUUCAGGUGAGCUGCAUCACGAAUCCACCUCUGUGUAUAAUGUUCCCCCCCACUAAGGGUCUCUCCACCCUUCACCAAUAAUA